UACAGAGGUCUCAAGCGUUGUUCGGAUUCAUUGGGCGUAAAGGGUGCGUAGGUGGCGGGGUAAGUCAGGUGUGAAAUCUCGGAGCUCAACUCCGAAACUGCACUUGAUACUGCCUUGCUCGAGUACUGGAGAGGAGAUUGGAAUUUACGGUGUAGCAGUGAAAUGCGUAGAUAUCGUAAGGAGGACCAGUGGCGAAGGCGAAUCUCUGGACAGUUACUGACACUGAGGCACGAAGGCCAGGGGAGCAAACGGG
rnacentral:rRNA from 1 species